AGAAUACGAAAGAGAAAAUAUGUCAUAGCUGUGUAAGAUUAACACAGUUUUCCUCUAGUGCUUUUAUCUAAAAUUGGCAUGUGCUUCUAAAAACUACCUUCGCUCUGUCUGUCUCAGGCAUCAUGAUUCAAGUGCAUGACGCAGCCUGGCACAGGCCUCAGGGUGCCAGCUGAUAACAGAGAUACCCAUCCUGCCAACAGCAUAAAACCAGUCUGGCUGUCUGCCUAACUGAAAUGUUGGCACUUUUAAGGGCUCUCUCUCUAAAUAUCUGUUCUUAUGCCUUAUCAAACACUGUCACCUUGUAAUGUUUUCUGCAGCACUGUUUUCACAUUAACACUCAGUUCUCUGAUUACAGACUAUGGCAGCACUUCAUCCAAAAAUGAAAAUUCUGUCAUUAAUUACUCACCUUCAUGUCGUUCCAAACCUGUAAGACUUUUGUUUAUCUUCGGAGCACAAAUGAAGAUCUUUUUGAUGAAAUCUGAGAGAUUUCUGUCCCUCAAUAGACAGCUACAUAACUACCACUUUGGCGCUUCAAAAAGUUCAUGAAGAGAUUGUAAAACUAAUCCAUAUGUAUUGAGCGGUUUAGUCCAAAUUUUCUGAAGAGACUCGAUCGCUUUAUAUAAUGAACAGAUUUAAUUUAGGCUUAUAUUAACAUAUAAACAUUCAUCAACUCGCACAUUAGUUGUGGUAAAUGGAAGCUCAAGCAUGAGAUCAGGGGAGUGAGAUUUACACGCUCUUACCAGGCUACGUUCGUUACACUCACCCCCCUAAACCUCACUCCCAUCCAAGUCGAAUGUAACCCCUCCGGUUCGAACCGCCCGCUCUAAGUGGGCUUGAACCCGGGUCAGCUGGCAUGGGAAUCGGGCCCUCUAACAAGGAGGCUAAAGACCGCAGUCUCUAGCAUAAGUUGCUAGAAUGCCUCUUGAGGUCAGGGGAGUGAGGUUUACACGCAAACCUCUACCAGCCUACAUCUGUUAGAUGUGCGAGAACCAGUGAGGUUCAUUCUCAUGUUACACAGCAUGUUUGAGCUUCUGCAACCAAUAAGGUUCGUUCUUGUGUUACGCAGUGCGUUUAAGCUUCCACAAGAGGUUUGUUCUCGCAUGUCAAGCAGGUUUGGUUGAGCUUCUGUUUAUGUUCGCUGAUCAAUGUUUAUAUGUGAAUAAAAGCCUAAAUUCACUCUGUUCAUAUAAAGUGAUCGAGUCUCUUCAGAAAAUUUGGACUAAACCGCUCAAUUCAUAUGGAUUAGUUUUACAAUCUCUUUAUGAACUUUUUGAAGCAUCAAAGUGGUAGUUAUGUAGCUGUCUAUCGAGGGAGAGAAAUCUCUCAGAUUUCAUCAAAAAGAUCUUCAUUUCUGUUCCGAAGAUAAAUGAAAGUCUUACGGGUUUGGAACGACAUGAGGGUGAGUAAUUAAUGACAGAAUUUUUAUUUUUGGGUGAACUAACCCUUUAAGACAGUCAGCUGGAAUAAAACAAAUUUUGUUCUGAUAUGGAAUCAAGCUAAUAUAUAAUUUUGUUUAGUCUGAUCUAUCAGUUCAAUUUCAUCAAAUCUAUCUAUAUUUUAGUGUCAGAACCAAUUAAUCAUCUGAUAUUUUAUUCUUGAAUAAAUAUUGAAAUGAAAAUACUGUAAAAUUUGAAGAUAGAUAUGUUUCACUUUCCACUAGACAGAAGGGAGGCAGUUCACAAACAAGCACAUGAUGUGAAAACAAGUCUGUAAAUAGCAGCUUGGCUGAGAACAUUUGACAUCCCAGAGGGCUUGAGUUACAGCACUAGCUUUUAGAGAUGGUAAUAACAGACAUUUGUGUCCCCAUGACAUACUAGGAGAUCUCUGGAUCUGAUAUCUCAUCUGAAGCCAGGCCGCACACUGUCAGCGAAAAUCUCUCACUAUGAUUAAAAGCCUUUCAGAAAAUUCCCAAUUUCAAAACAGUCCUGUUUACAACAAGCUAGACAGAGGAAUAUGAGCUCACGUAUUGGUGAUAAACUGAUCUGGGAACAGAACAUUGAUAUUUUAUGGCUUUAUCAGCUGACAGCAAUCCAUGACACGGUUACAGCACGCUGGCACAAAUGAAAUGGCUGUUCGAAGCUAGGGUGCUUUGUUUUCAAGUCUCAUUGAGCCAGAUUACCCAGCAGGCAAAUGAAAGGAGGGCGUAGUGGUUUCCUUGCUCUGGCAACCGAACAUGUAACCCAGGUGACAUAAUCUGCAUGGUGACCACAUGAAAACAGGUGAAGCUGUUACUUUCUUUUUCGGUGACAGUACAGACUAUAAAGAAUUAGUAUGACAGAUUUUCCAAGACACUUUUGAGACGCUCUUGUUUUGUUUAUUCUCCUCUCCUGGUCUCUGUAUAGAGUGCUGGGUAUCUACGAGUGAAAUGUCAGCUUGUUUUGAAAGCCGACACUUUCACCCUCUGACAUUCAAGCACCUUCCUCCCCUCCACCGUCUCUGAUUAUACGCUCUGGAUCAAAACAGUUUCAGACCAACUAAAAAAAAGAAAGAAACUGAAACUGUGGGUCUUUCUCGGAUUCAUUUAACAUACAGAGAACUCGAUGUUUAAGCGUUCUUUGCAUGUCCUUGCGUUGUCAUUUUCCAGGUAAAAAUUGUAUGUUUUCGUUCACUUGGAAAAGAAAUAGGACACUUUCCACAAAAAGAUGCAAAAUUUAAAGUCUCCAUGAAAUCAAAAUUGACAGUUCUUAUUUAUUUUAUUGAAUAUUGCAGUAUUUAUUAUAAAUUAUUUAUCCGUGCCCAUUAUUUUUUUAAUUCAUGUGCCUCAUAAUCUUUAAUCAAAAUAACUUGCAGCAACAUCUCUUCUCUGGUGACGCGUUUACUGGCGCGAGGGCGGGGCAACCUGUCACUCACAUGAGACUGACCAAUAGCAAACCACAACCAUCCAAUGAUCCAAUUAAUUCCCAAUGGUCAAAAUUAAGUCCCACCCUAUAUUUUUUCUUGUUCCAGAAGCCGCUUCACUUGGAUAUAUUUCACAAUAGGGAAGAAAAAACUAGCGCAACUUCCAUUUCAUUCAUGACUGUAGUUUUUUUUUAAAUCGCAGUUAUAAACAAUAGUAAUAUAAGGAUAACGUUGGAUUCAUAAAGUCCAAAAGCAGAAUCUAUUCCCAAAACAAUCCAAAGAUCCUUUUUGUUACUGACAAAGUAGUUCACAUAAUUCCACAAAAAGCUUUCCCAAGAAAACAGCUGGCUGCUGGCAUUAUCACUGAAGAUCAUUUCUGACUCCAGCUGACCUCCAGGACCAGCACAGGGUGAUAGUCUGGAUCUGUUUAAAGACCGGGAUUCAGGUUAAUCUUUAGUGCGGUAAUUACUGGCUCCGCUGAGUGUUUGGAGAACGACCAGGAAACAGUCAAAACCAAAACAGGAUACUGCGAGUCUUCCAGGAAAACAGUUAUCAUUUGGCUACAGAGGGGCACGAAAGGUGACGUCCGACCUUCAACUCACAGUGAACGUAUUUUGGACCAAUCCCUAACCAGGAGAGAUAUGGCAGGUUUGUGUUUUUCACAUAUCAGAUUACAAAGCCUCCGCAAGUAAGUGGCCUUCCUUGACAACAAGUCUGACAUGUUUCUGUUUUACCAGAGGCUAAAUUCUUCUGUAAAGUGUUUCUCUUUUUAACGUUGAUGGUUUGGAUGGAGUUCAACUAAAAUAACCAAAACACAAACAGAUUGUGAGGUUGAAAAACAGGACGUCGCAUGAAAUACCUCUACAGGACUUUUGGAAUGGGGUGGACAGGACUUAUGUUAUGCAAGAGCUGAUAAUGGAAACAACCCUGGGCCAAAAGAUUAAAGGAUUAGAAACCGGACACCAGGCGAUGUGAUCGUUACACUGCGGUGGGUGAAGAUCAGUCUCUGAAGUGUAUGACCUCCAGAGAGGACCCACAACACACUCAAUAUCUGAACUCUGCAAGGAGCUGUGUUUGAAUUUUCAGUAGUAAUGGAACCUUAAUAGGCUUCUAAAUCAGAAUGGCUGCAGUUUUCAUCUGGUUUUGCCACAGAUCCAGAUGAUUUUAUCCUAUAUCAUAACUAUGCAUAUGGUUAGUUGCAUUUGAAUUUAGCAUUGCUUCCAUGCUAUCAGAAGAGAUUUCUGUGGAGAUUGCAACCGACCAGUUGAGAACCACUGCAGUAGGGGAACUAGCUUUCUUCAUGUGGAUUCUCAUUAUGAGAACAGAAACCACAGAAAUUAUAGGCAACAUUUGCAGUCUACUUAUUUAGGGUUUAGUAUUGGAUUUCAGUUCAUUUGUCCUUGUUGGCAUGAUAACAUCCAUCAUGUGUUUGGUGGUUACAGUGUCUUGUGAGCUAAGUGUGGUGCUAGCAACCACCUGAUUUGAUGGCUGCCUUUUUGAAAACAAUAAACAAGUUGGACAACCUAAA